rnacentral:tRNA from 1 species
UUUACAGCUCAGUGGUAGAGCACUUGCCUAGCAUGCAUAAGGCCCUGGGUUCAAUCCCCAGCAUUUUUUAAAA